UGUCAGAAUGCCAUGUUAAUACGGAUAUUUUUGUUUAUUUAUCAUUAUACAUUCAUUGUUGUUUUAUUUCAUAUGGUUGUUAAAAAGGGCUAAAAAUCUAUACGAAAAGGUGUAAAAAUGAGGGUAAAAUGUGUUAAUAAAUAUACGUCUCUAAAAUAAUAUUUGGUUAAAAAGAGGACUUUUAGUUUAGUGUUGCUUUACUGUGGAGCGUAAUGAGUCACGUGACGCGAGUUAGUUAGGCGGGUAACUGGAGAAUUAUGGGUCAGAACUAACGAACUUGGCGGCAGAGAGAGAACAACAAUUAAAGCUAACACGAGGUCUAAAGGCGCACACGGUAAAUGUUUGUCUGUUUCAUAUUGUUUAGUAAUGUGUUUAAUAUGCCUUUUUUCAAUGAAUCUUGUGUUUCGAGUUGUACACAGAAUUGUUGUGCUAGCUAGCAUAUACUGAACGGUUGCUUUGUUUUGUGUAGUUUUCACGGUGUCCGAUGAAGGACCAGAGAGAGGGAGAGAGAAAAGGAGAAAUAAACCUUCAAAAGACAUCA